GGUAAAUCCAUUUUAAAUUAGAGGAAAACUGUUGAUUUGUAUGUAAAAUAGAAGACAAAGACAAGUUUAAAUAAAGACAAGUUAGCUAAUGAAACAGAUGCAGUGAUAUGACAAACACCUAGAAGAUGGAAUCCUGUGUUCUCAAAGAAAAAGCUAGUUCCAGAAAUAAGCUACCAAUAAUAAACUAGAGAAUGUAUUACAAGAAAGAACAACGCUAAUACCCAACAUAGCUCAAUUGCUUCAGAUAGAAAAAGAGGAGGAAAGGGUAGAACACAAGCGUGCCAGAGAAAAUUAAAGGGCAGAAGAGACACAAAAAUUCAUUGAUUUAUUAAAUUUAAUAAUUAAAUUAUACAAAGGACAAUUAAAUAAAGAAUAAAAAAUUA